rnacentral:rRNA from 1 species
UACGAGGGGGGCAAAUGUUGUUCGGAAUCACUGGGCGUAAAGGGAGCGUAGGCGGGUUUCUAAGUCAGGUGUUUAAUCCCGGGGCCCAACCCCGGACAGGCACUUGAAACUGGGAAUCUUGAAUAGUGGAGAGGUCAGUGGAAUUGGGGGUGUAGCGGUGGAAUGCGUAGAGAUCCCCAAGAACACCAGUUGCGAAGGCGGCUGACUGGACACAUAUUGACGCUGAGGCUCGAAAGCGUGGGGAG